GGAGGAAAAUCUGAAUCUAUAAGCUUCCUUUUUAUACAAACCAGACUCUUAAGUUGUCUUAGUUCAGCUGGAACUCACAUCACAGCUGCCCUAUUUACUUAUCUACCGGCUGCAUUCCUUAGGACCAGUUUUGUUCCUGUUCAAAAGGAAACCAGGCAGAGUUGGGAAAAUAUUUCCCCAGCCAGCUCCUCAGCACUGCUGUCGGAGGGAGACCAUCUGAUCAAGAUGCCUUUCAAGGUUCUCUGUGAUGGCUGCCUCCAGACACAGUCAGUCCCGCAAUUCUUCAUACUCAUCAGAACCUUUGCUACGUUGGCCCUGAAAUUAAUGUUCCUUCAUCCUUCUCCUGUCUUCACUUCUCUCCUAACUCAAGCCUCCAAACAAGAGUUAACCAACAUUAAAGAAAACACCAACGCCCUGCCCCUAAUGCUGCUGGUCCUGUUUCGGAUCAGUUCCAGGCUUCCUGGGAUCCAUGCCCUUGGAGAACAAUCGCUUUCAAC